rnacentral:rRNA from 1 species
AGGACGAACGCUGGCGGCAGGCUUAACACAUGCAAGUCGAACGCUCGUAGCAAUACGGGAGUGGCAGACGGGUGAGUAACGCGUGGGAACAUACCCUCCGGUUCGGAAUAGCUCAGGGAAACUUGGAUUAAUACCGGAUACGGCCGAGAGGCGAAAGAUUUAUCGCCGGAGGAUUGGCCCGCGUUCGAUUAGCUAGUUGGUGAGGUAACGGCUCACCAAGGCGAUGAUCGAUAGCUGGUCUGAGAGGAUGAUCAGCCACAUUGGGACUGAGACACGGCCCAAACUCCUACGGGAGGCAGCAGUGGGGAAUAUUGGACAAUGGGCGCAAGCCUGAUCCAGCCAUGCCGCGUGAGUGAUGACGGCCUUAGGGUUGUAAAGCUCUUUCGCUCGGGGACAUAAUGACGGUACCGAGAUAAGAAGCCCCGGCUAACUUCGUGCCAGCAGCCGC